GACGAACGCUGGCGGCGUGCUUAACACAUGCAAGUCGAACGGAAAGGCCCUGCUUGCAGGGUACUCGAGUGGCGAACGGGUGAGUAACACGUGGGUGAUCUGCCCUGCACUUCGGGAUAAGCCUGGGAAACUGGGUCUAAUACCGGAUAGGAGCCAUUUUUAGUGUGAUGGUUGGAAAGUUUUUUCGGUGUAGGAUGAGCUCGCGGCCUAUCAGCUUGUUGGUGGGGUAAUGGCCUACCAAGGCGGCGACGGGUAGCCGGCCUGAGAGGGUGGACGGCCACAUUGGGACUGAGAUACGGCCCAGACUCCUACGGGAGGCAGCAGUGGGGAAUAUUGCACAAUGGGCGCAAGCCUGAUGCAGCGACGCGGCGUGGGGGAUGACGGCCUUCGGGUUGUAAACUCCUUUCGCUAGGGACGAAGCUUUUUGUGACGGUACCUAGAGAAGAAGCACCGGCUAACUACGUG
rnacentral:rRNA from 1 species